rnacentral:rRNA from 1 species
UGGUGGAGUGAUUUGUCUGGUUAAUUCCGAUAACGAACGAGACUCUAGCCUGCUAAAUAGUACACUCAUACCCUGGGCUUUU